rnacentral:rRNA from 1 species
CCUACGGGGGGCAGCAGUGGGGAAUAUUGCGCAAUGGGCGAAAGCCUGACGCAGCGACGCCGCGUGAGGGAUGAAGGUCUUCGGAUCGUAAACCUCUGUCAGCAGGGAAGAACGGUCACUGUGCUAAUCAGCAGUGAAUUGACUGUACCUGCAAAGGAAGCACCGGCUAACUCCGUGCCAGCAGCCGCGGUAAUACGGAGGGUGCGAGCGUUAAUCGGAAUUACUGGGCGUAAAGCGCUCGUAGGCGGUAUGUCAAGUCAAGGGUGAAAUCCCCGGGCUCAACGUGGGAACUGCCUUUGAAACUGGCAAACUGGAGUGUGUGAGAGGAUAGUGGAAUUCCAGGUGUAGGAGUGAAAUGCGUAGAUAUCUGGAGGAACAUCAGUGGCGAAGGCGACUAUCUGGCACAUAACUGACGCUGAGGAGCGAAAGCGUGGGUAGCAAACAGGAUUAGAUACCCGAGUAGUC